UGGACUCUUUUCUCGUAUGCC
rnacentral:siRNA from 1 species